CCUACGGGUGGCUGCAGUUUGGAAUCUUGCCCAAUGGGGGAAACCCUGAGGCAGCGACGCCGCGUGGAGGAUGAAGGAUCUAGGUCUGUAAACUCCUUUUAUCGGGAAAGACUUAGGACGGUACCCGAUGAAUAAGCACCGGCUAACUACGUGCCAGCAGCCGCGGUAAGACGUAGGGUGCAAGCGUUGUCCGGAUUUACUGGGCGUAAAGGACGCGUAGGCGGUUCGUUAAGUGUGAAGUGAAAUCUCCAGGGCUCAACCCGGAAACUGCUUUACAUACUGGCGGACUGGAGGGAUGCAGAGGUAAGUAGAAUUCCUGGUGUAGCGGUGAAAUGCGUUGAUAUCAGGAGGAAUACCGAUGGCGAAGGCAGCUUACUGGGCAUCAUCUGACGCUGAGGCGUGAAAGCGUGGGUAGCAAACAGGAUUAGAUACCCCAGUAGUC
rnacentral:rRNA from 1 species